GACGAACGCUGGCGGCGUGCCUAAUACAUGCAAGUCGAACGAGAGCGACCGGUGCUUGCCCUGGUCAAUCUAGUGGCGAACGGGUGAGUAACACGUGGGUAACCUGCCCAUCAGAGGGGGAUAACAUCCGGAAACGGAUGCUAAAACCGCAUAGGUCUUCGAGCCGCAUGGCUUGAAGAGGAAAAGAGGCGCAAGCUUCUGCUGAUGGAUGGACCCGCGGUGCAUUAGCUAGUUGGUGAGGUAACGGCUCACCAAGGCCGUGAUGCAUAGCCGACCUGAGAGGGUGAUCGGCCACAUUGGGACUGAGACACGGCCCAAACUCCUACGGGAGGCAGCAGUAGGGAAUCUUCCGCAAAGGACGCAAGUCUGACGGAGCAACGCCGCGUGAGUGAAGAAGGUGUUCGGAUCGUAAAACUCUGUUGUUAGAGAAGAACAAGUGCUAGAGUAACUGUUAGCGCCUUGACGGUAGCUAACCAGAAAGCCACGGCUAACUACGUG
rnacentral:rRNA from 1 species